GUGGGGAAUCUUAGACAAUGGGCGCAAGCCUGAUCUAGCCAUGCCGCGUGAGCGAUGAAGGCCUUAGGGUUGUAAAGCUCUUUCAGGGGGGAAGAUAAUGACGGUACCCCCAGAAGAAGCCCCGGCUAACUCCGUGCCAGCAGCCGCGGUAAUACGGAGGGGGCUAGCGUUGUUCGGAAUUACUGGGCGUAAAGCGCACGUAGGCGGACCAGAAAGUCAGGGGUGAAAUCCCGGGGCUCAACCCCGGAACUGCCUUUGAAACUCCUGGUCUUGAGGUCGAGAGAGGUGAGUGGAAUUCCGAGUGUAGAGGUGAAAUUCGUAGAUAUUCGGAGGAACACCAGUGGCGAAGGCGGCCCACUGGCUCGAUACUGACGCUGAGGUGCGAAAGCGUGGGGAGCAAACAGGAUUAGAUACCCCUGUAGUCC
rnacentral:rRNA from 1 species